rnacentral:lncRNA from 1 species
GUGCAUCUGCAUGAGUGAUGGUAUGUGCUUAUGAGUGUGAACAAGAAGUGAAAACUAAACGAAACAUUGCCAUUUUUUUUAUUUUUUAUUUAUUUUGAAAAACUGCAAAAAUAGAAAGACAAGGAACGAAAUAUUUGAAUGCAAAAAGACGUUCUUUAUUUAUGAUAAAAAAUGCAAGUGUCACAUAGGUGGUCCCUACAAUGAGUCAUUACGCCCUGGGCGGAACGUAAGACUUGGAUAUGCAUGAAUAAACAAAGAAAAUUACUCUUCAAGAAGAGUGACUUGGAGAAUCUCUUCAGAAGACCAAUUGUUGAGAACUUCACCCGGGAUCCUCGGACGCACCCAGUUGUCAAUGUCACAAUCACUAUCCCCCUCUUCUUCAUUGACUGCAGAGACUUGACCAUACUGAAU